AGUAGUAAACAAUGGAUUAAUUAACCUCCAGUUCCGUCUCUCAUUUGAAAAUCCAAAUUAUAAAAUCUUUACCGUAUAGAUGGCAUGAUACACAUGCUGAUUUCCAUUGGCGCUGGCUCCCUAUAGAUAGAGAGGAGUGGGGCAGUGCAGCACAAAGAAGCAGCGUGAUCGCUGAGAACACACAGAAGAGGAGGCAGGAUGAGAAGCCGCGUGGUGGUUUUGGCACUAAUGAUGGUGCUGGCUGUUGUCUUCUUUGCCAACAACUCCUUCGCCCAAGAUGAGGUUAAUUUCCAGACACCAAGCGAAGAUGAUGCUGGUGGUAGGCCAUGGCCGUGCUGCAACAAGUGCGGUGUAUGCACCAGGUCUAAUCCGCCACAAUGCCAAUGCUUGGAUCUAGUGAAGGCCUGCCAUCCAAAGUGCAAAGAAUGCGUGCAGUCGCCCCUCAGGAUCUACCCGCCACUGUACCAGUGCAAGGACUGGAUCACCAACUUUUGCAAGAAAAAGUGCAACCCCAAGCCACUCAACGAUGAGUAGCAGCACCGCCGAGUCGCCUACCGUUGCGUGCAUGCCUGCGCAUCUCUAUUUCUAUCUACGUAAAUAAACUUGUUGCCGUGAGUUGGGUUGUAACCAAGUUAGUGUGGUGUGUUUCCUCUACUUUUAGAUGUGUGCUGUACUGCUGUACCAUGUUUUCGAACUAUUAAAUAAUGAUCACCUCUCGGGGCUUUAGUUUGGAA